GACUCGUAAUGCACGCAGAAGCAAAAAGUAUUGUAAAGACGCUGACGUGUUUCAGUGUGUUUACCACUCACGUCUGCCUGAACAAUGUCGGGAGGAUAAAUACGGGAAGUAAAAAAAAAAGUAUCCAACGUGGUGCAUGUGUUAUCAGACAGAAUGGAUCACGACAUUCCUGAUUAUAUGACCUGCCAAAAUCCUCUGGUCUGUAAUGCUCUUUCUUUCUAACAGCGAUUUCUUAUUAGCUCUCGCAUUAAAUAAAACUAUACAGAAUGAAAAAUGUUAGCUAUACUAAGAAAAUAAAAAUCAGAGUAGUUACUUCUGGCCAAUAUAAUUACAUGGGAAAUAUUUAUUGGCUCAGAAGCUGUCGUUUGGCCACAAAGUCAAGAAAUUCUGUUCAUAAAAUUGUGUUCUUUCUUUCUUACCUGUGAAAGGUAAUGCUAAUGGAGCCAGCUUGUACUAUAAAAUGAGUGAAAAAACUCCACACAAGUUCCCCACUGACAUUUGCUAUUUUUACUAAUUCUUUUCUAAACAUUUUCUAUGAAACGGCAACACUUUGUUAGAGGUUCCGUUUCCCCUAGGAAAGGGCAUGAACUUGUGACAAUUUAAUCUGUUACUCUUUUUGCUUUAUUAUGUUUUCCAUGAAAUGUUUAAUUUAUUUAAAUUCUUAUGUGUUUAGCUUUGUCAUUUUCUUUUAUGUUUUCUUUUAUCUUAUCGCUGAUGUUUAGCACUUUAUUUCAGCUCUGGCUGCUGUUAAAGUGCUUUAUAAAUAAAGUCGAUAAUGAUCAUGAACAAAAACAGGUUAGUCGGUCCAGUAGCUGAGAAGUUUGAAUGCUGAACAUACAGCCACAGUCUGUUUCCCCUGACCUACACACUGGAAGUGGGGAUCUAUUAACACUAAGUAAUAGGAAGUGAUACUUGGCAUAACAUGACUGGCUUGUUUUUUUUCCUAGGGUCAGUUGAGAAUGAAAAGACAGGGAGGCAGGAUAGACAGCUUCUUUAUAAAAAGAAGCAAAUCAGGCACAGAUCAAACAGGGUUCAGCUCUGACAUCAGCAGUCCUGGUAGCUCAUGUCCUGAGAACAGUCACGAGAAAGAAAGUCUGGCAAACACCAAUCCACCAUCACCAGUUCCAUCAAAGGAGGAGUCUGAAAACACAGAAAGCUCUCGCCUGACCAGGAUGAUGAUGAGCCAGAAGGGGCAAUUGCAGGAGAUACCACUGAUCUCUUCUCAGCAGUGUCCAGCACUCCUUUUGCUUUUCCAAAAGGACCCAGUGAUAUUUCAAAGUCAAAAGAACAGGGCCCUGUUCAGCCAAGUUUGACAAACUUCCCCAGAACUCAGCAUGGAACAAGAAAGAGAACUUUUCACAGCUCCUGGUACAAAGACUAUUCUUGGUGAUGCCAGGCUAAGUCACAUUGGAACACUUAGCAUAGAGUCAAGGAGGGCACGGGGCCUCAACAUGGAUGACUUUGUAACAUAUUUUGCUUCAUCUCACAACAACCGAAGGAUUUUACUUUUAUGAGUGCAUGAAGAAGUCUUGUGUUUCUCGUCAUGAUUUGGGUCUUCACCGACUGGUACUUGUACCAAUGAUAGUUUAGGAGUCAGUACAUUUGGUCAUAGCUGCAUUAAGUUCGAAAAUAAAAUGCACAUGUAGCAUCUAUUAAAUAACAGUUUCCAUAACAUACAACCUUCUUUUUGAGAUAUUGUAAUUGUGAACUGUGUGACACUGCAUUCUCAUUGUAAGUCUUGUCUUGUUACAAUGGUGUCAUUUAGAGGUUAAUGUCCACUUAUGCUUUGUGUGGCAUGCAUUGAUAAUAAACUGCAAAUUACAUGAGCAAAUCUCAUUUCAUGAGUCUUUAUUUAUAUAUAGUAUGUGAAUGAAAGUACUUUUACUGUAUUGUCAUUGUCAUAGUCAGUGGACCCCUUACAGAUAGCCCUGGCCCCCCAUUGGCCCCCCCAGAAAUAAAA